rnacentral:lncRNA from 1 species
GUUCAUUUGUUCGAGGCAAGUAGUUUUUAAGUGGGACCUUUGCAACGCAUCGUGACCCCCCCACUUACCUGGGAGCUUACCUGGUCAACUCAGUUCAUUAGACCGGAUUGGAGGCUUAGGUGCCCUCUUCAAACCAGUUAGGAGCUGUCUAGUGAUUUUAGGGCAAAUACAAGGAUUUGAUGUAUUUUUCUUUUAGUGCAUGCUUGACUGUACGUGACUGAUCCGAAAAGUAUUGG